CCACGGCUAACUACGUGCCAGCAGCCGCGGUAAUACGUAGGUGGCAAGCGUUAUCCGGAUUUAUUGGGCGUAAAGCGUCCGCAGCCGGUUUAUUAAGUAUAGAAUUAAAGCCUGAGGCUCAACCUCAGUUCGUUCUAUAAACUGAUAAGCUAGAGUGUGGUAGAGGCAAGUGGAAUUUCUAGUGUAGCGGUAGAAUGCGUAGAUAUUAGAAGGAACACCAGUGGCGAAGGCGACUUGCUGGGCCACCACUGACGGUCAGGGACGAAAGCGUGGGGAGCAAAUAGGAUUAGAUACCCUAGUAGUCCACGCCGUAAACGAUGAGUACUAAGUGUCGGUUUUCCGGUGCUGAAGUUAACACAUUAAGUACUCCGCCUGAGUAGUACGGUCGCAAGGCUGCAACUCAAAUGAAUUGACGG
rnacentral:rRNA from 1 species